rnacentral:rRNA from 1 species
CCUACGGGGGGCAGCAGUCGAGAAUCAUUCACAAUGGGGGAAACCCUGAUGGUGCGACGCCGCGUGGGGGAAUGAAGGUCUUCGGAUUGUAAACCCCUGUCAUGUGGGAGCAAAUUAAAAAGAUAGUACCACAAGAGGAAGAGACGGCUAACUCUGUGCCAGCAGCCGCGGUAAUACAGAGGUCUCAAGCGUUGUUCGGAAUCACUGGGCGUAAAGCGUGCGUAGGCUGUUUCGUAAGUCGUGAGUGAAAGGCGCGGGCUCAACCCGCGGACGGCACAUGAUACUGCGAGACUAGAGUAAGGGAGGGGGAACCGGAAUUCUCGGUGUAGCAGUGAAAUGCGUAGAUAUCGAGAGGAACACUCGUGGCGAAGGCGGGUUCCUGGACAUUAACUGACGCUGAGGCACGAAGGCCAGGGGAGCGAAAGGGAUUAGAUACCCGAGUAGUC